rnacentral:rRNA from 1 species
UACGUAGGUGGCAAGCGUUGUCCGGAUUUACUGGGCGUAAAGGGCGUGCAGGCGGUUUGUUAAGUGCAGGGUGAAAGCUCCCGGCUCAACUGGGAGAGGUCCUUGCAUACUGGCAAACUCGAGGGAGGCAGAGGAAAGUGGAAUUCCCGGUGUAGUGGUGAUAUGCGUAGAUAUCGGGAGGAACACCAGUGGCGAAGGCGGCUCUCUGGGACGGUACUGACGCUGAGACGCGAAAGCGUGGGGAGCGAACAGG